GUACGGGGGGGGCAAGCGUUGUUCGGAAUUACUGGGCGUAAAGGGCUCGUAGGUGGCCAACUAAGUCAGACGUGAAAUCCCUCGGCUUAACCGGGGAACUGCGUCUGAUACUGGAUGGCUUGAGUUUGGGAGAGGGACGCGGAAUUCCAGGUGUAGCGGUGAAAUGCGUAGAUAUCUGGAGGAACACCGGUGGCGAAGGCGGCGUCCUGGACCAAUACUGACACUGAGGAGCGAAAGCCAGGAGAGCAAACGGG
rnacentral:rRNA from 1 species